ACGAACGCUGGCGGCGUGCCUAAUACAUGCAAGUAGAACGCUGAAGAGAGGAGCUUACUCUUCUUGGAUGAGUUGCGAACGGGUGAGUAACGCGUAGGUAACCUGCCUUGUAGCGGGGGAUAACUAUUGGAAACGAUAGCUAAUACCGCAUAACAAUGGAUGACACAUGUCAUUUAUUUGAAAGGGGCAAUUGCUCCACUACAAGAUGGACCUGCGUUGUAUUAGCUAGUAGGUGAGGUAAUGGCUCACCUAGGCGACGAUACAUAGCCGACCUGAGAGGGUGAUCGGCCACACUGGGACUGAGACACGGCCCAGACUCCUACGGGAGGCAGCAGUAGGGAAUCUUCGGCAAUGGGGGCAACCCUGACCGAGCAACGCCGCGUGAGUGAAGAAGGUUUUCGGAUCGUAAAGCUCUGUUGUAAGUCAAGAACGGGUGUGAGAGUGGAAAGUUCACUGUGACGGUAGCUUACCAGAAAGGGACGGCUAACUACGUG
rnacentral:rRNA from 1 species